rnacentral:rRNA from 1 species
GAACGCCGGCGGCGUGCUUAACACAUGCAAGUCGAACGAGCAAGAGCUGUAGCAAUACAGGGUUCUGCUAGUGGCAGACGGGUGAGUAAUACAUGGGAAUCUACCUUGCAGUGCGAAAUAACAGUUGGAAGCAAUUGCUAAUGUCGCAUAUAGCCGAGAGGUGAAAGGUUUACUGCUGCAAGAUGGGCCCAUGCAGGAUUAGCUAGUUGGUGAGGUAAUGGCUCACCAAGGCAACGAUCUUUAGUUGGUCUGAGAGGAUGAUCAGCCACACUGGGACUGAGACACGGCC